UCCUCCGUGGCGCAAUUGGCUAGCGCGUCUGACUGUUAGAAUUCCCGAUCUUGUCGGGAAUAAGGCAUCAGGAGGUUGACAGUUCAAGCCUGUCCGGGGGAG